rnacentral:rRNA from 1 species
AGUGAAAGAGGGGGGAAUGCAUUACACAUGCCAGUCGAACGGCAGCGCGGGAGCAAUCCUGGCGGCGAGUGGCGAACGGGUGAGUAAUACAUCGGAACGUGCCCAAUCGUGGGGGAUAACGCAGCGAAAGCUGUGCUAAUACCGCAUACGAUCUACGGAUGAAAGCAGGGGAUCGCAAGACCUUGCGCGAAUGGAGCGGCCGAUGGCAGAUUAGGUAGUUGGUGAGGUAAAGGCUCACCAAGCCUUCGAUCUGUAGCUGGUCUGAGAGGACGACCAGCCACACUGGGACUGAGACACGGCCCAGACUCCUACGGGAGGCAGCAGUGGGGAAUUUUGGACAAUGGGCGAAAGCCUGAUCCAGCCAUGCCGCGUGCAGGAUGAAGGCCUUCGGGUUGUAAACUGCUUUUGUACGGAACGAAACGGUCUUUUCUAAUAAAGAAGGCUAAUGACGGUACCGUAAGAAUAAGCACCGGCUAACUACGUU